UACGUAGAGGGCAAGCGUUGUCCGGAAUCAUUGGGCGUAAAGAGCGUGUAGGCGGCCCGAUAAGUCCGCCGUGAAAGUCCAGGGCUCAACCCUGGAAUGCCGGUGGAAACUGUCGGGCUGGAGUCCGGAAGAGGCGAGUGGAAUUCCUGGUGUAGCGGUGAAAUGCGCAGAUAUCAGGAGGAACACCAAUGGCGAAGGCAGCUCGCUGGGACGGUACUGACGCUGAGACGCGAAAGCGUGGGGAGCAAACAGG
rnacentral:rRNA from 1 species